AGCGAACGCUGGCGGAAUGCUUAACACAUGCAAGUCGCACGCCCUGCAAGGGGAGUGGCGGACGGGUGAGUAACGCGUAGGAAUAUGUCCAGAGGUGGGGGACAACCCUGGGAAACUGGGGCUAAUACCGCAUAUGGGCUGAGGCCCAAAGCAGUGAUGCGCCUUUGGAGUAGCCUGCGUCCGAUUAGCUUGUUGGUGGGGUAAAGGCUUACCAAGGCGACGAUCGGUAGCUGGGCUGAGAGGACGACCAGCCACACUGGGACUGAGACACGGCCCAGACUCCUACGGGAGGCAGCAGUGGGGAAUAUUGGGCAAUGGGCGCAAGCCUGAUCCAGCAAUUCCACGUGGGUGAAGAAGGUCUUCGGAUUGUAAAGCCCUUUCGACGGGGACGAUGAUGACGGUACCCGUAGAAGAAGCCCCGGCUAACUUCGUGCCAGCCGCCGCCGUAA
rnacentral:rRNA from 1 species